rnacentral:lncRNA from 1 species
UUUAACGUGCCUUUCAAGAAGGUGAAGAAUUCCCAUGAUGAAUUCCCUAAAUUUGUGUGACAACUUCACACACAACGCAAAUUGGAGAAGCUCGGACAAAUACUUAGCAAACUAUGGAAGCGCCAGAUUUCUUUAUUGCAAAUUUCUUAAUCGUUCAUUAAAUGAAGAUCUUAAGUAGCAAUGUAAAAAAUUUAUGCAUGUACCUAAAAAAUGCUUGCAAUAAAAAUGAUCUUAGUCCUAUCAUAUUGUAAAUA